rnacentral:rRNA from 1 species
UAUAAAGAAAAGACGAACAGCUCAGUAACUCUUAUUUUAUUUGAUGUAUUAGGAUUCUAACUAUGUUAAAUUAUAGAUAAUAAUAAUACAAUAAGAAUAAGAUCUAUCAGUUAGUUGUUAAGGUAAUGGCUUAACAAGACUAUGACGGAUAACGGUAUUACUUUGUAAUAUUCCGGAGAAGGAGCCUGAGAGAUUGCUACUAAGUCUAAGGAUUGCAGCAGGGGCGAAACUUGACCUAUGAUAUGAUAUUGAGGCAGUUAUGAGUAGUAUUUUUAAUUAUUGUAAUAUUGUAAGUAUAUAUUACAAGAUAAAUCGGAGGGCAAAUCGAGUGCCAGCAGCCGCGGUAAUACUUGUUCCGAUAGUGUGUAUGAUGAUUGAUGCAGUUAAAAAGUCUGUAGUUUAUUAUUAAUAAGCAUUGUGAGGUAUAUUGUAUGGUUAGGAGAGAGAUGAAAUGUGAUAACCCUAACUGGAUGAACAGAAGCGAAAGCUAUAUACUUAAAUGUUUUAUUAGAACAAGGACGUAAGCUAGAGGAUCGAAGAUGAUUAGAUACCAUUGUAGUUCUAGCAGUAAACUAUGUUAAAUCAUAGAUACAUUUUAAAAUGUAUUUAUGUAAAGAAAUUAAGAUUAUAUUGACUCUGGGGAUAGUAUGAUCGCAAGAUUGAAAAUUAAAGAAAUUGACGGAAGAAUACCACAAGGAGUGGAUUGUGCGGC